CCUACGUGAGGCAGCAGUGAGGAAUAUUGGUCAAUGGACGAGAGUCUGAACCAGCCAAGUAGCGUGAAGGAUGACUGCCCUAUGGGUUGUAAACUUCUUUUAUAUGGGAAUGAAAUGUUACACGUGUGGGAUUUUGUAUGUACCAUAUGAAUAAGGAUCGGCUAACUCCGGACCAGCAGCCGCGGUAAUACGGAGGAUCCGAGCGUUAUCCGGCUUUAUUGGGUUUAAAGGGAGCGUAGGUGGUUUGUUAAGUCAGUGGUGAAAGUUUGCGGCUCAACCGUAAAAUUGCAGUUGAUACUGGCAGUCUUGAGUACAGUAGAGGUGGGCGGAAUUCGUGGUGUAGCGGUGAAAUGCUUAGAUAUCACGAAGAACUCCGAUUGCGAAGGCAGUUCACUGAACUGCAACUGACACUGAGGCUCGAAAGUGUGGGUAUCAAACAGGAUUAGAUACCCGUGUAGUC
rnacentral:rRNA from 1 species